ensembl:lincRNA
CUCUACGACACCCGUCACUUGCCUAGCCGCGAGCGUGGAUUUCCUGGCGGUCUAAGUGUUAAACACAAAACCUCAUCUUCGCAAAUCUUCCUAAAUUCUCCCACAUUCCUUUUUGCGGGGGGAGAGGAUGGAGGGAGCCUCCCUACAUCAAUUCUCCUGUCUUUUCUCACAGCAUGCGCGCUGUCAAAACACAGACCCGUGCGAGCAGUGGAGGGGGAGCCCUUUCUCCUGCCUGGCCCCAACAGUCCCACUGCCUGGAGGAACCCGUGUGAACACCUUUUUCUACGUGUUCAGAAAUAUGUCGACAGACGUCAUCAUAAUUAGCCAUUUUUACUGGAGAAGUCCUGCGUGCACAUGGCUCGCGGCGUGCCGAGGCCAAGUCCGUUUCUAUGCUCUGCACCUUCAGGCAGUGGCUCGAGGAGGCGAAACGGCAGGAGCCCACUGGGUGACAUUCCAGCAACCAACCAACAACUUUGUCCAGACCUCCUCGUCUUCAAAUAUGAAUAGACAACCAAGAAACAUGGACAAUAUAAGGAGUUCCCGUGCACUGAAAGAGAGACAUGGAACUCAACAAACAGAAGAACCAACACAGGAGAUGUGAAGAUGACUAAAACAGGCCGGACCCCGACCUCACAGAGCGCAGCCUAAGGCAAGAACACAGAGGAGUGCAGCCGUUAAGAGCACGGGCUCUGGAACCAGACUGCCCAGGUUUGAAUCCGGUUCUACCUCUCACUAGCUCAGUAAUCUUGGGCAGGUCACUGCCCUCUGUGCCUCUCUGUGCCUCAGUUUCCUCCCAUGUCAAAUGCAUAAUAGAAUUCCUACCUCGUAGGUUGUUUUGUGGGUGUAAGUAAAGCACAAGUGAAGGUAAGCACUAUGUAAGUAUUCGCUAACCACAGAAAGAUGGUGACAUGCUAAACAGCGGGGAUAAGGGAAUGUAAAAGAGGUGCCUGGCCCUCCCGAAGGGGUCCAGGAGCUGCCCGGCCAGGCCUCAGCAAGACCUCGCCAUGAGAAGCUUCCAGAACCCGGCUCACUGGAGUAAGUGCAGACGCCGCUUCCAUGAGACCCAGCCUUCGCUGUCUGCCCGGCGCACGGGAGGCAUGUUAGGCUGCUGCCCGGGGUCCAUGGCUUGUCACUCCCUGUUCGGGUGAUGCUGACGAGGACUGCAGUGUCCCCAGUGCCUAAAGGAAGCUGCCCCAGCACACCAGAUAUUUCACAUUUUAUUAGCUGCCUGGGCUCAUCUGCAACCUGAUUUCUCUCCAGCACGUCACCCUUCUGCAGCCCCCAGGGCCGGGGGCCAGGCCGAUCUGAGGGCAGGGAGAGCCCGGCGGAUGCGGGGGCUGGGGUGGGGGGCUGCUCUGUCCUGGGAGGGCGCAGGGGAGGUGGCCAUGGGAUGGGCUGGCACUAGGCUGCAAGUGUGCUCCCUCCCUGGGACUGGCCCCCAGGGACGUGGGUGGGGGAAGUGCCACCUCGGGGUGGGCAUCCGGAGGUGGGGUGGUUUGAAUCUAGGUGUCCAGGUGGCCCCGGGAGGACAAAAAUGGGCUCACUUGAUGCAUUUCUUCAUCUCCUGGAGGGUUUUGCUUCCUCACUUCCUCCCGCUGCUGGAAGGAUGAACACAAAAAGCAAAUGCUCCUCUUGAGGGGUUGGGCAUGUGGUCAGGGGACUUGCAGCACAGGGCCAGGUGGCCUGUGAACCCAAGUGCCAGGCGAGUCCCAUCACACAUGGAGACCUGACGCCUGAGCUCACUGAGGCCUUGGGCCACCGGCCGCAGCCCCAGACAGGGCUCCCCGAGGAGUGGGCGCCUCCUGCCGCCCCCAGCGCCGGGCAGCUGGGAGCCUGGAGCCUCUCAAGAGACUGAGGACAGGACAUCCCAUCCCAGAGGGACUCUGGCACCUCUGGGCUGUCUCUGCGGCCACCAGGGAGCCCCUCCCCUGCAUGUGUCACCAGGCCUUGUCCCUGUGCUUCCCGUCAUCAGCCCCUCUCCCCUAGGGCCUCACUCACCGUCCUCUGCAUCUGGGUGUGUCAGGCAGGAGGGCACAGCUCAGGCUGGCAGCGAGGGAGUGGCGCGGUCGAGGGGAGGGAGGUGACGUGCUCUCCAGGGAUCCUCAGACCUUCAGAACUGCGGGUGGCUCCCGGCCAGCGUGCAUCUGGCCACUCCCCCGGCGUCCCGAGAGGAGAGUGGGAACAUCCUCCAACCGCGCCGGCCUGGCAGGGGCCUGGCAGCGCUGCUUCACGCCCCGGUGGCCAGCACCCCCCAGUCUGCCCUGGAAGGACAAUGACAACCACCUGUGCUGCCAACCUCCUCACACCUGGGGACACCAGCCAAGGGAGCGGCCCCCUCGCCUCAGGGCGGGACUCCCACGCCAAGGCCCCUGCGUCUCCCUCAGUCCCCAGGCAGCAGGGCCCAGGCCGGUGCUGCAGCCCCCGGCACCUCGGCACAGGUGCGUCCUACGGCAUCGCACAGGACGAAGACCCCAGGAAAGGCCUGCGUUCCUGCCCAGGGCACACGGUGAGAAAAGCGCUGCGCUCACCUUGCACCGCUGAGCGGGGUGGGGGUGGCUGAGCAGCUGCGACCGCAGUGGAAGCUCCUGCACAGACCCGGAGCCAGCCAGGCGGGUUCGAACCCCGGCUCUGUCACUCGUGGGCUGGGUGGCCUCAGAGAGUUUAGCUAACCUCACUGUGCCUCAGUUUCCUCAUCUGUAAAACGGGAAUGUGGACCAAUCUCAUAAAGCGUGAGGAUGAAAUGAGAUGGUGUCAGAAAGCACUCGGGGGCCGGGCGCGGUGGCUCACGCCUGUAAUCCUAGCACUAUGGGAGGCCGAGGCGGGCGGAUUGCUCGAGGUCAGGAGUUUAAAACCAGCCUGAGCAAGAGCGAGACCCCGUCUCUACUAUAAAUAGAAAGAAAUUAAUUGGCCAACUAAUAUGUAUAGAAAUUAGCCGGGCAUGGUGGCACAUGCCUGUAGUCCCAGCUACUUGGGAGGCUGAGGCAGGAGGAUCGCUUGAGCCAGGAGUUUGAGGUUGCUGUGAGCUAGGCUGACGCCACGGCACUCACUCUAGGCCUUGGCAACAGAGUGAGACCCUGUCUCAAAAAAAAAAAAAAAAAAAAGAAAGCACUCGGAACCGUGCCUGGCCACAAAGCAAGCGCCAUGGAUGUACCUAAUUAACGCACGCUCCAAGUCUGCGAAAC